AUCGCUUCUCGGCCUUUUGGCUAAGAUCAAGUGUAGUAUCAAGUGUAAAAGUAUAAGGAAAAUUUUAGUAUCACAAAACUAUU
ensembl:snRNA LOC120103311 U2 spliceosomal RNA